rnacentral:misc_RNA from 1 species
UUUCCGUAGGUGAACCUGCGGAAGGAUCAUUAUUGAAUGAAACACUUCUGGCUUUAUGCUGUUGUGCUGGCCCUUUAGGCAAUGUGCACACGGCUCUGGUUACUUGUUUCUUCUGUUCCACCUGUGCACUGCCUGUGGUCACGCUGUGUCUAUGAUAUUUGUUAACACACAACAAUGUUAGUUGGCAUGUUAUAUAUAAUAAUAAAAUAUACAACUUUCAACAACGGAUCUCUUGGCUCUC